GAAAUACUAAGUCAUGGCUUGAACCAGUGAUGGAGCACCUGGUGGGAAGGCAGGUUCAACCCAUUGCACACACCUGAGUGACAGGAAGGGGUGGAGCCAGGACCCUCCCCUUCCCAGACCUCAUUUAAGGGUUGGCAGUGGAAACAGGAAUCUUGCUGGAGUUCCAUGUGUACCUGAGGCCUUCUAAAGAAACAGACACCAAAGCUCGGAUUCAGAAAGCCUAUUAGGAUUUGUCGUGCUGAAUGUUGUGGCACCUGCAAUUUGAUCUCCCUCGCUGAGCUGUGUCCCUGAGAGACUUCAGCUUGUGAUAGAUUCUGAAACAAGGAGGGAUGGGAAUAUUUUCCAGACUCUGAUUAUUUCUUAUUGACAUGGAUGUCAAACCUUUUGGCUUGCCUGGGCCACACUGAGUGAAGAUGAAUUGCCUAGAACUGCAUCCGUGAAGGUUGCUCCAAAAGUAAUGCCUCUUAUUUAUUUCCUUGGAAACUAGGACUGAUCCCAAUUGCAAAAUAACACUACCUUAUGGAAUGAAUUCUCAGCUGCAGUACGCUAUUUUUUUUUCAAAGAGUCACCGUCAUAAGCUUUGCAUUUUUGCCAGCAAUGAACAAGAGCAUACAUCCUGCACUUGUAACAAUAUGAACCAGUGGAGGUGACCUGCUGUCACCGCUGCUGAAACGCACCACCCACUGCGUCGCUGUGAUCACAUCCACUGAUUGGUCUCCAUAAAUGUUGAGCAAGCAUUGAUGAAUGUCAGUGGGUUCUAUUUUUUUCUGUGUGGAGGAAUUCAGUGACACACCUCUGCUUCAUCUGCACUUCCAUGCCAGACACCAUUGUGUCAGACUGCCCCUCUGCUGCCAUCUGUCGCAUCGCAUCAGCAUGGAAUGGAAUACUGGUGGGAAGGUUCAGCCCCUACUUCCGUAUCACCAACAUCCACCUUUGUCAUUGUGGGAUGACAUGAUGUGAGAUCAUGAAGUAGGCGGUAUUACUUUCGGAGUGGCUCGCAUAAAAUAUAUAAUAUAGUUAAUAUAUAUAAGGAACAAAACUUAUUUUAUUUUUAAUGGUUUUUGUUGUUGUUGUUGUUUGGUUGUUUGUUUUAGUAUUGUUAAAACAUAAAAAAAGGAAAGCAAGAGAAACAGAGAAGCAGACUGGAAAUUAUUGUGCUGGUUGUGACAAAGUAGGACACAAAGAUAGCAUUGUGGGCUGUAGAUGACACUGAGUGCCUAAUAAUUUUGUUUGGCAUUGCAUACAUUUAGAUUAUCAUACAACCAUAGAAAUUGUGUCAUAUAUUAUUACUUACAAUGAUUUUAUAUGACCUGCCAGGUAACAAAGAGUGCAUGAAAUUGAUCAGUGUUUACUUCUGAUUCAUGUAGGGAAGGGCCAUGUAACAAUAGUAGAGAAAGGUGUCUGAGCUGCUAGAAUAAAUUACACAACCUGCAACCCCAUCCAUUACCAGAAGCUAAAAUGUCUCUGGGACAUAUCCCAGUGAUACCUAGCUGCCUCUGAGAACACGAGCAGUGGUAAGGCUGUGGUCUGCACUGGUUGUACUGAUGGAUAGAUGUAUGGUUAUAUUUUGUCCUUCCCACUGCUGUUCUCCACAG
ensembl:lncRNA